AUACAGAGGGUGCGAGCGUUAAUCGGAAUUACUGGGCGUAAAGCGCGCGUAGGCGGUCUAUUAAGUCAGAUGUGAAAUCCCAGGGCUCAACCUUGGAACUGCAUCCGAUACUGGUAGACUAGAGUUUUGGAGAGGGAAGUAGAAUUUCAGGUGUAGCGGUGAAAUGCAUAGAGAUCUGAAGGAAUACCAGUGGCGAAGGCGACUUCCUGGCCAAAAACUGACGCUGAGGUGCGAAAGCGUGGGUAGCAAACGGGAUUAGAUACCCCAGUAGUCC
rnacentral:rRNA from 1 species